UACAGAGGUCUCAAGCGUUGUUCGGAUUCAUUGGGCGUAAAGGGUGCGUAGGUGGCGCUGUAAGUCGGGUGUGAAAUCCUGAGGCUUAACCUCGGAACUGCAUUCGAUACUGCGGCGCUUGAGGACUGGAGAGGAGACUGGAAUUCAUGGUGUAGCAGUGAAAUGCGUAGAGAUCAUGAGGAAGACCAGUGGCGAAGGCGGGUCUCUGGGCCGAUACUGACGUGAGGAGCGAAAGCGUGGGGAGCGAACAGG
rnacentral:rRNA from 1 species